rnacentral:rRNA from 1 species
UAGUCAUAUGCUUGUCCUAAAGAUUAAGCCAUGCAUGUGUACGUUCAAGCCCUUGUACGGUGAAACUGCGGAUGGCUCAUUAUAUCAGUGAUAAUUUGGUUGGUGGAGAAUGCUGUGGAUAACCGUGGUAAUUCUAGAGCUAAUACAUGUGGAGCAGACGCAAGUCUGGCAUUUAUUAGAUAAAGCCUUGGCAAGGGGACAACUCGUUCCCUGCGCAGGUGAGUAAUGAUAACUGGGCGGAUCGCAAACUAUUUGCGACGCACCAAGGAAAUUUCUGCCCUAUCAACUGUGGAUGGUAGGAUAGGGGCCUACCAUGGUGGCGACGGGUGACGGGGAAUCAGGGUUCGAUUCCGGAGAGGGAGCCUGAGAGAUGGCUACCACUUCCAAGGAAGGCAGCAGGCGCGCAAAUUACCCAAUCCCGAGGCGGGGAGGUAGUGACAGGACAUGACGGGGCGGGGCGCACAGCGCUCAGCGACUGGGUUGAGGAAAAGAUAAAGCGAAUGACGAGAAACGAUU